rnacentral:rRNA from 1 species
CUCUACAGCUAUGCCACCCUGAAGAAGCCCGAUUCCAUCUGAUCUCAGAAGCUAACGAGGGUCGGGCCUGGUUAAUACUUAAAUGAGAGACCACCUAGGAAGACCAGGUGCUGUAGGAG